AACGAGCGCUGGCGGCAGGCCUAACACAUGCAAGUCGAACGCUCCAGCAAUGGAGAGUGGCAGACGGGUGAGUAACGCGUGGGAACCUUCCCUAUGGUUCGGAAUAGCCCAGGGAAACUUGGGGUAAUACCGAAUAAGCCCUUCGGGGGAAAGAUUUAUCGCCAUUGGAUGGGCCCGCGUCGGAUUAGCUAGUUGGUGGGGUAACGGCCUACCAAGGCGACGAUCCGUAGCUGGUCUGAGAGGAUGAUCAGCCACACUGGGACUGAGACACGGCCCAGACUCCUACGGGAGGCAGCAGUGGGGAAUAUUGGACAAUGGGCGCAAGCCUGAUCCAGCCAUGCCGCGUGAGUGACGAAGGCCUUAGGGUUGUAAAGCUCUUUUGGCGGGGAAGAUAAUGACGGUACCCGCAGAAUAAGCUCCGGCUAACUUCGUGCCAGCAGCCGCGGUAAGAC
rnacentral:rRNA from 1 species